AAACUUUUCUCCCCAAAACUUCAUAAAUUAUAUUUUCAUUCAAAUAAUAACUAUAUUUAAUAUUUCUUCAAAAAUUAGAGUGUUAUAAUUCUCUCCCCCUAAAAUGAAUUUCGUCCUCGAAAUUCUAUAACUUAAAGAACCACAAAGUCUAAUCCAAAACCACUAUGCUUACGCUGAAAUUAAACUCUUUUUCUCCAUAUAAUCAAAACAACAAUCAUACACCAAUCACUUCAGAACCCAGUAAAACAAGACAAAGCCUAAUGCUCCUAUUACUAGAGUUCACUUUAGAACCUAGUAAAACAAGAUAAAUCCUAAUGCCUUUCUCAACUCGAUUUCACCCAACACCUGAAACUGUAAACUCCUUCUAACUCAUGUCUCUACCCUGAUCAUUCGUUCAUCCUUAACAUUAAGUGUGCAUUUAUCGUCAUUUCUACCUUAGGAGAUUGUGUACGAACUGGUGCCUAUCAAAAUCUCAAAUA
rnacentral:misc_RNA from 1 species